GGAUGUUAGCGGCGGACGGGUGAGUAACACGUGGGUAACCUGCCUGUAAGACUGGGAUAACUCCGGGAAACCGGAGCUAAUACCGGAUAGUUCCUUGAACCGCAUGGUUCAAGGAUGAAAGACGGUUUCGGCUGUCACUUACAGAUGGACCCGCGGCGCAUUAGCUAGUUGGUGGGGUAAUGGCUCACCAAGGCGACGAUGCGUAGCCGACCUGAGAGGGUGAUCGGCCACACUGGGACUGAGACACGGCCCAGACUCCUACGGGAGGCAGCAGUAGGGAAUCUUCCGCAAUGGACGAAAGUCUGACGGAGCAACGCCGCGUGAGUGAUGAAGGUUUUCGGAUCGUAAAGCUCUGUUGUUAGGGAAGAACAAGUGCGAGAGUAACUGCUCGCACCUUGACGGUACCUAACCAGAAAGCCACGGCUAACUACGUGCCAGCAGCCGCGGUAAUACGUAGGUGGCAAGCGUUGUCCGGAAUUAUUGGGCGUAAAGGGCUCGC
rnacentral:rRNA from 1 species